GGCCGAAUGGUCUAGUGGUAUGAUUCUUGCUUUGGGAUUGCAUAUGCUCAACUGCAAGAGGCCCCGGGUUCGAAUCCCGGUUCGGCCC